rnacentral:rRNA from 1 species
AUGAACGCUAGCUACAGGCUUAACACAUGCAAGUCGAGGGGCAGCAUGGUCUUAGCUUGCUAAGGCCGAUGGCGACCGGCGCACGGGUGAGUAACACGUAUCCAACCUGCCGUCUACUCUUGGACAGCCUUCUGAAAGGAAGAUUAAUACAAGAUGGCAUCAUGAGUCCGCAUGUUCACAUGAUUAAAGGUAUUCCGGUAGACGAUGGGGAUGCGUUCCAUUAGAUAGUAGGCGGGGUAACGGCCCACCUAGUCUUCGAUGGGUAGGGGUUCUGAGAGGAAGGUCCCCCACAUUGGAACUGAGACACGGUCCAAACUCCUACGGGAGGCAGCAGUGAGGAAUAUUGGUCAAUGGGCGAGAGCCUGAACCAGCCAAGUAGCGUGAAGGAUGACUGCCCUAUGGGUUGUAAACUUCUUUUAUAAAGGAAUAAAGUCGGGUAUGGAUACCCGUUUGCAUGUACUUUAUGAAUAAGGAUCGGCUAACUCCGUGCCAGCAGCCGCGGUAAUACGGAGGAUCCGAGCGUUAUCCGGAUUUAUUGGGUUUAAAGGGAGCGUAGAUGGAUGUUUAAGUCAGUUGUGAAAGUUUGCGGCUCAACCGUAAAAUUGCAGUUGAUACUGGAUAUCUUGAGUGCAGUUGAGGCAGGCGGAAUUCGUGGUGUAGCGGUGAAAUGCUUAGAUAUCACGAAGAACUCCGAUUGCGAAGGCAGCCUGCUAAGCUGCAACUGACAUUGAGGCUCGAAAGUGUGGGUAUCAAACAGGAUUAGAUACCCUGGUAGUCCACACGGUAAACGAUGAAUACUCGCUGUUUGCGAUAUACUGCAAGCGGCCAAGCGAAAGCGUUAAGUAUUCCACCUGGGGAGUACGCCGGCAACGGUGAAACUCAAAGGAAUUGACGGGGGCCCGCACAAGCGGAGGAACAUGUGGUUUAAUUCGAUGAUACGCGAGGAACCUUACCCGGGCUUAAAUUGCAGAUGAAUUACGGUGAAAGCCGUAAGCCGCAAGGCAUCUGUGAAGGUGCUGCAUGGUUGUCGUCAGCUCGUGCCGUGAGGUGUCGGCUUAAGUGCCAUAACGAGCGCAACCCCUAUCGACAGUUACUAACGGGUCAAGCCGAGGACUCUGUCGAGACUGCCGGCGCAAGCCGCGAGGAAGGUGGGGAUGACGUCAAAUCGGCACGGCCCUUACGUCCGGGGCUACACACGUGUUACAAUGGGGGGUACAGAGGGCCGCUACCACGCGAGUGGAUGCCAAUCCCCAAAACCUCUCUCAGUUCGGACUGGAGUCUGCAACCCGACUCCACGAAGCUGGAUUCGCUAGUAAUCGCGCAUCAGCCACGGCGCGGUGAAUACGUUCCCGGGCCUUGUACACACCGCCCGUCAAGCCAUGGGAGCCGGGGGUACCUGAAGUGCGUAACCGCGAGGAGCGCCCUAGGGUAAAACUGGUGACUGGGGCU